UGGGGAAUAUUGCACAAUGGAGGGAACUCUGAUGCAGCGACGCCGCGUGAACGAAGAAGGCUCUCGAGUCGUAAAGUUCUUUUAUAUGGGAAGAUAAUGACGGUACCAUAAGAAAAAGCCCCGGCUAACUACGUGCCAGCAGCCGCGGUAAUACGUAGGGGGCUAGCGUUGUCCGGAAUCACUGGGCGUAAAGGGUUCGCAGGCGGAAAUGCAAGUCAGGUGUAAAAGGCAGUAGCUUAACUACUGUAAGCAUUUGAAACUGCAUAUCUUGAGAAGAGUAGAGGUAAGUGGAAUUUUUAGUGUAGCGGUGAAGUGCGUAGAUAUUAAAAAGAAUACCGGUGGCGAAGACGACUUACUGGGCUCAUUCUGACGCUAAGGAACGAAAGCGUGGGUAGCAAACAGG
rnacentral:rRNA from 1 species